rnacentral:rRNA from 1 species
AGAGUUUGAUCCUGGCUCAGAUUGAACGCUGGCGGCAUGCCUUACACAUGCAAGUCGAACGGUAACAGGUCUUCGGAUGCUGACGAGUGGCGAACGGGUGAGUAAAGCAUCGGAACGUGCCCUGAAGUGGGGGAUAACGUAGCGAAAGUUACGCUAAUACCGCAUAUUCUGUGAGCAGGAAAGCAGGGGAUCGCAAGACCUUGCGCUGAUUGAGCGGCCGAUAUCAGAUUAGCUAGUUGGUGGGGUAAAGGCCUACCAAGGCUACGAUCUGUAGCGGGUCUGAGAGGAUGAUCCGCCACACUGGAACUGAGACACGGUCCAGACUCCUACGGGAGGCAGCAGUGGGGAAUUUUGGACAAUGGGGGCAACCCUGAUCCAGCCAUGCCGCGUGAGUGAAGAAGGCCUUCGGGUUGUAAAGCUCUUUCGGCCGGGAAGAAAUCGCAUAGGCUAAUACCCUGUGUGGAUGACGGUACCGGAAUAAGAAGCACCGGCUAACUACGUGCCAGCAGCCGCGGUAAUACGUAGGGUGCGAGCGUUAAUCGGAAUUACUGGGCGUAAAGCGUGCGCAGGCGGUUUAGUAAGACAGGCGUGAAAUCCCCGGGCUCAACCUGGGAACUGCGCUUGUGACUGCUAAGCUAGAGUACGGCAGAGGGGGGUGGAAUUCCACGUGUAGCAGUGAAAUGCGUAGAGAUGUGGAGGAACACCGAUGGCGAAGGCAGCCCCCUGGGCCGAUACUGACGCUCAUGCACGAAAGCGUGGGUAGCAAACAGGAUUAGAUACCCUGGUAGUCG